rnacentral:rRNA from 1 species
UGGGGAAUUUUGGACAAUGGGCGAAAGCCUGAUCCAGCAAUGCCGCGUGUGUGAAGAGGGCCUUCGUGUUGUAAAGCACUUUUGUCCGGAAAGAAAUCCUUGGCUCUAAUACAGUCGGGGGAUGACGGUACCGGAAGAAUAAGCACCGGCUAACUACGUGCCAGCAGCCGCGGUAAUACGUAGGGUGCAAGCGUUAAUCGGAAUUACUGGGCGUAAAGCGUGCGCAGGCGGUUUGCUAAGACCGAUGUGAAAUCCCCGGGCUCAACCUGGGAACUGCAUUGGUGACUGGCAGGCUAGAGUAUGGCAGAGGGGGGUAGAAUUCCACGUGUAGCAGUGAAAUGCGUAGAGAUGUGGAGGAAUACCGAUGGCGAAGGCAGCCCCCUGGGCCAAUACUGACGCUCAUGCACGAAAGCGUGGGGAGCAAACAGGAUUAGAUACCCUGGUAGUCCACGCCCUAAACGAUGUCAACUAGUUGUUGGGGAUUCAUUUUCCUUAGUAACGUAGCUAACGCGUGAAGUUGACCGCCUGGGGAGUACGGUCGCAAGAUUAAAACUCAAAUGAAUUG